CCAAUAGCGUAUAUUAAAGUUGUUGCAGUUAAAAAGCUCGUAGUUGAACUUCGGGGUUUACCCAUUGGUCAGGCUUAACUGUCUGCACUGGUGAGAUAAAUCUCUACCUUCUGAGGAACCUUCAUGCCAUUUAUUUGAUGUGCUGGGAAAUCAGGACUGUUACUUUGAGAAAAUUAGAGUGUUUAAAGCAGGCUAAAGUCUGAAUACAUUAGCAUGGAAUAACGUAAUAGGACGGAUUGGUUCUAUUUCGUUGGUUUCUAGGAUCACCGUAAUGAUUAAUAGGGAUAGUUGGGGGCAUUAGUAUUCAAUUGUCAGAGGUGAAAUUCUUGGAUUUAUUGAAGACUAACUACUGCGAAAGCAUUUGCCAAGGAUGUUUUCAUUAAUCAAGAACGAAAGUUAGGGGAUCGAAGACGAUCAGAUACCGUCGUAGUCUUAACCAUAAACUAUGCCGACUAGGGAUCGGACGAAGUUAAUUUUAUAAUGACGCGUUCGGCACCUUACG
rnacentral:rRNA from 1 species